ensembl:lncRNA
GCUUAUAUGGACUUCCAUUGGCUUCUCUAGGCUUCUACGGACUUCUCUAGACUUCAGUAGGUUUAUUUGGGCGUCUCUGGGCUUCUAAAGACUUCUCUAGGUGACUAUGGACUUCUAUAGGCUUCUCUAGGCUUCUAUAGACUUCUAUAGGCUUCUCUAGGCUUCUAUGGACUUCUCUAGGCUUCUAUGGACUUCUAUAGGCUUCUCUAGGCUUCUACGGACUUCGCUAGGCUUCUAUGGACUUCUAUAGGAUUCUCUGGGCUUCUAUGGACUUCUAUAGGCUUCUCUAGGCUUCUCUAGGCUUCUAUGGACUUCUAUAGGCUUCUAUGGACUUCUCUAGGCUUCUAUGGACUUCUGUAGGAUUCUCUGGGCUUCUAUGGACUUCUGUAGGUUUCUAUGGACUUCUAUAGGAUUCUCUGGGCUUCUAUUGGCUUCUAUAGGCUUCACUAGUCUUCUAUUGGCUUCUGUAGGUUUCUCCAAGCUUCUAUAAGCUUUUAAAGGCUUCAACAUGCAUCUCUAGGCAUUUAUGGGCUUCUAUAAGCUGCUAUAUGCUUCGCUAGCCUUUUUGUUUUUGGCAGCAAAGAUUAAUGCUCGUCAGACGAGCAGCAUUUAAUACGUCAUUUUGUGUCCCGCUCCGAUGCAUGGCUUCACUGAGAGUCACUUCAUCGUGGGUUUUGCCUAGAGAAAACUAUCUCAACGUUUAUAAUACAGUGCGCUCUUCGCUCGUCCCGCGGGGCCAGACGCACAAAUUCCCCAGACGAUGACCGGGAGAUCCCUCAGUGGCGAUACCUUAAAAUCUGCUGCCGAUCACUGAAACGAACAUGCCUGACAUCUCACACUUAAAACAUAUCAGCACCACUCAGACUCUCAGACCGCAUCGCUGAAUGUCAGAAACAGAAUGCUAUGUUUGAUUAUUUGUGUUUAUUUCUAGAUCUGGCUAGCUGUCAUUCAUUUCUACAGUGAAAUUCGACUAGCUACUAAACAGACUAGCUACUUCUGAUGCUCUUAUGAGAACAGAUAAAAACAGAACGCACAGAUAUACAGCACGGAUGCUCGGUUUUAACUUGAAGAGACGGUCAGAAAGAAAGCAGACGCACUACAGAACACAUUGCUGUUUUUAUUAGAGCCUAAACCGGCAAUAAUACUGAAAAACGUCAACUCAGAACAGAUGGUGGCAACCCACGGCUUUUUUUUUUUUUUUUUUUUUUUUUUUUGGUAAGAGUACAUUAACUCUCGUUUUUUUUUUUUUUUUUUAAAUGUGGCAUGAAUAACAUCAAUAAAAGGGGGAAAAAAGAAAUAUACAACUUAUAUUACACUGUGUUAUGAACAAAAUAUAAAUCUAUACCUCUAUGUUAUAUUUACAUAAUUAUCUUUUAGCGAUUUUUUUCAAGUUGAGAUGGUAGGAUUUGUUUUUUUUUUUUUUUUUAAAGAAUGCAUGUAUGUGUGUGUGUGUGUUUUAGUUUGAAUUUUUUUUUCACUUUUGUUUUGAGCUCCACCCAUGACCUUGAUUGUCUUAUCUAUUAUUAUUCAUAGCAAAAAAAUGUCAUGCUUUAUAUAAUAAAUGAUUGACAGCUUUAGACCCUGUCCUUCAGAAUAUGUAUGAUUGUUAAAGGGUCCUGAUUGUGAUUGAAAAAAAUAAAAUAAUAAAAAAAUAAUAAUAAUAAUAAAAAAUUACACAUCAGGAUGGAAACUAAUGUUAAUGUUGUGAUUUUAUGAUUUUAAAAGGUGUCGGGCAUGGCGUGGAGCUAAAACAAAUCCAUCAUGGAGUCCCGUAGAGGUCACGUAUCUGAUAUGAGUCACUCGGUGGAGCAUCGCAUGAGCCUCUUCGAAUUUUUGAUAGAUAUUUCUUUUGUUAGAAUUAUCUUUAACACGUCCAAACUGGAGGAGACUUCAAAUUUGUAAAUAUGUAUAUAUAUAUAUAUAUAUAUAU